GAGACAGGAGGAAAGAACAUGGAGACCCCUUUACUCAAUAGGCAGAGUUUUCAUAAUAUCUUACUCAUAAUACGUUAUCUUUUCAUAACCCAAUUCAAUUCAGUAGGGUUUGCAGCAAAAUGUCAGAAAGACAAAUCAUUCCAAUUCAAACGUUCCUCUGGGCACGUGGAAUAGGUGAGAGGUGGCAGAGGUACAGAGAAUGAUUAAAGAGCUCUCCAGUGCAGAGCAUGCUACGCAGAUGUCAGUUAUCAGUUAGAAAGUCAACAAUUUGGAAGCUUUGCAGGUUCUGUGCCUGGUCUAGCACAGACACAAUGAAGAUAGGCACAGACCUGUUUUCUAUUUUGUGUGUGUGUGUUUUUGAGACGGAAUCUCGCUCUGUCACCAGGCUGGAGUGCAGUAGUGUGA